rnacentral:rRNA from 1 species
AUGCCAGUCAUUGCUUUGAAGCUAGAUUUUCAUAAGGCCUUUGACAGUGUGAGUUGGUGCUGCCUUCACAAGAUACUUGAUGCCAGGGGCUUCCCACAUGUGUGGCAAAACUGGAUACAUGACCUCUUGUCCACUGGCAGCUCUAGAGUUCUGCUAAAUGGGGAGCUGGGCCCUUCCAUCACGGCAAAGAAAGGUUUUCGACAAGGGGAUUCUCUAUCUCCCUACCUUUUCAUCCUUGUCGCUGAUGUGCUGCAGAGGAUGUGCUGCCAGAGGUUUUGA